UCACUGGUUCUCAUACGAUCACCAAAGUUAAGCAAUGUUGAGCCUGUUCAGUACCUAGAUGGGUGACCACUUGGGAUUACCAAAUGCUGUAAG